rnacentral:rRNA from 1 species
GGCUUGAUGUUCUGGGCGGCACGCGAGUUACAAUGAAGCUGACAACGUGUUACCUUAUCCGAGAGGAUUGGGAAAUCACUUAGCCAGCUUCCUAGUUGGGAUUGUGGACUGAAAAAGUUCACAUGAACCAGGAACUCCUAGUAAGUGUGAGUCACUAGCUUGCAUUGAUUACGACCCUGAUCUUUGUACACACCGCCCGUCGCUAUUACCGACGAAUUAUUUAGUGAGAUCUCUGGAGGUAAACAUUGCGAUACCUCGGUAUUUCGAUUGCUUUUGCCAAAGUUGAUCAAACUUGAUGAUUUGGAGGAAAUAAAAGUCGUAACAAGGUUUCCGUAGGUGAACCUGCGGAAGGAUCAUUAACGUAUAUAAUUUCAUUAUAUGCUCUUGUUUUUGUCCUCUCCUAAAAUCCUAGGUACUAGAAUUGCGAUAUUCACGCACUCUUUUGUUGCAUGCAUGUUGUUGGUUUUAUAAAGGGCUUCGCCUANGUAUACUUUUUACUUUUCAUGCUUAUUGAAAACCGUUGGGAUAUAGUAAUGUAAUAAACUAGUAAUAAUAAUUUAACCCUAGACAGGNGAUCACUUGGCUCAUGGGUCGAUGAAGACCGCAGCAAACUGCGCGUCGCCAUGGAACUGCAGGACACAUGAUCAUUGACACGUUGAACGCAUAUUGCGCUUUAUACAUUUGGUUCUCUCGUUGGAACUGUAUAAAGUACAUAUGGUUGAGUGUCGUAAUUUCAUCAAAUUUCAACUACAAGUGUGCGACGUUCCAGUCACGCGCAAAAUAUAGUGUCAUUAAAGAUGUCUCCUCUGAUGGCAAUUUAUGACUAAAAUUCUGAGUUUAUGUCAGUUUACGCCUUUAUAAUGAAGGGAGGAAUCUGAAAAGGUUCAAUUCAUUCACACAUGAUGAAUAUCUCUUUGGCGCCAACUUUACAUAUGCAUGUAUAUAAUUGGUUGCCAAAAAAUUCGUCGCUAAAAUGUGUGUGAGUGUGAUAGANGCCGAAGUAGAGUUUCUCAAAGUAGUACUGUAGCGAGUUAUGAUAAUAAUAGAAAAAAAAAAUAGAAUCGCGACCUCAACUCAUGUGUGACUACCCCCUGAAUUUAAGCAUAUUAAUUAGGGGAGGAAAAGAAACCAAAAGCCGGGUCCGAGCUC